UGGUGGUUCGAGCUGUCUGGUUUAUUCCGUUAACGAACGAGACCUUCGCCAGCUAAAUAGCACUCUGUUUCUUACAGAGGUGUCUUCUUAGCGGGACUUUGUGCGUCUCAGCACAAUGAAGUGAAGGCAAUAACA
rnacentral:rRNA from 1 species